GUGUCCCGUCUGCCCUCACCUGACCUGUCAGUGGUGGUGUGAAGGACUUCAGACAGAAGACACAGAGAAACAUCGGCCCAUUAAAGGGGACAAGUCCAAAGAGGGGGACUUUGUCCUAAAGGCAGGGCUGGACAAA
ensembl:scaRNA